CAGCCGCCGCGGUAAUACGUAGGUCCCGAGCGUUGUCCGGAUUUAUUGGGCGUAAAGCGAGCGCAGGCGGUUAGAUAAGUCUGAAGUUAAAGGCUGUGGCUUAACCAUAGUACGCUUUGGAAACUGUUUAACUUGAGUGCAAGAGGGGAGAGUGGAAUUCCAUGUGUAGCGGUGAAAUGCGUAGAUAUAUGGAGGAACACCGGUGGCGAAAGCGGCUCUCUGGUCUGUAACUGACGCUGAGGCUCGAAAGCGUGGGGAGCGAACAGGAUUAGAUACCCGGGUAGUCCCUGUUUCUUAUACA
rnacentral:rRNA from 1 species